ACAAGAGUACUCAUUUCUUGCCUAGCUUAUUCACUGUUUAUUGCCUAAAGCUUAUUCACUGCCCUUGCACCGUUGUUUGUACCCGGUUCCUAUUGUUUACUUGAUGAUUCCGUUGCUGGUUCCUAUUGUUUACUUGAUGGUUCCGUUAGCGAGUUACGAAAGGAAAGGCGAGCUCCAUCCAGGCCAAGCGUAUACUAACAUAGCGCUAAAGGGCAGCUAGUCGUUAGUUAGUUAUGAGCAAGUAAAGUAAGUGAGAGUCCGGUUAAUGAAUACUAAUAAUAAAUAAGAUAAGAGCGUUGGAUUGUUAUAGAUCGAUAAGAGCGUUGGAUUGUUAUAGAUCUAGAACAAGCUUAUAUAUCUUAGCGCUACAAGAGCAGCAACUUUCUCUUCCACCCUUUGCUUAGUCUUAGGCGCUGGCCCGAGCUACUGAACGCGCGUGUCACAUGGAACCCUUUAGUCAAAGAGAGAAAGACGGCUCUAUCUUAUGGAGAAAAGUCCAGCAAAUCUCCAAGCUCAGGAAAAUGAUCUGCUGCUCUUACUGGUCCCUCCCUCAUCAAGUCAAAUGUCAAUAAGAUACUCUAGAACACUGUGCUGUGCCGAUUCAAUGAGUUCAACAAAGAAGCAAUGCAAUGCUUUUGACUGGAUUCUAUCUAUAUUAGGAACGCUAUACUCAUGAUUCUAUCUAUAUUAGGAACGCUAUACUUCUAAUGGAAUCUAUCUAUAUGAGGAACGCGGAAUACAGGAGUUCAAGAAGUCCUAGUCUAGUGCGAUACGGCUUUUUUCCCCUGCCCUUGUUUAGUAGUGCACGUAUUCUAUCAACUAAAUAGAACUCUCAUAUGAUAGAAGAGAGUCAAAUCCUUCCUCCCUCUACAG
rnacentral:lncRNA from 1 species